GAAUCCCGUGAACCAUCGAGUCUUUGAACGCAAGUUGCGCCCGAAGCCCUCGGGCCGAGGGCACGCCUGCCUGGGCGUCACGCAUCGCGUCGCCCCCCCACCCGCGGGUCGGGGGGGCGGAGGAUGGCCUCCCGUGCGCGCUCCCGUCGCGCGGCCGGCCC
rnacentral:rRNA from 1 species